UGGGGAAUAUUGCACAAUGGGCGAAAGCCUGAUGCAGCGACGCCGCGUGAGGGAUGACGGCCUUCGGGUUGUAAACCUCUUUCAGCAGGGAAGAAGCGAAAGUGACGGUACCUGCAGAAGAAGCGCCGGCUAACUACGUGCCAGCAGCCGCGGUAAUACGUAGGGCGCAAGCGUUGUCCGGAAUUAUUGGGCGUAAAGAGCUCGUAGGCGGUUAGUCGCGUCUGCUGUGAAAACUCGAGGCUCAACCUCGGGCUUGCAGUGGGUACGGGCUGACUAGAGUGCGGUAGGGGUGACUGGAAUUCCUGGUGUAGCGGUGGAAUGCGCAGAUAUCAGGAGGAACACCGAUGGCGAAGGCAGGUCACUGGGCCGCAACUGACGCUGAGGAGCGAAAGCAUGGGGAGCGAACAGGAUUAGAUAGCCCUGGUAGUCCAUGCCGUAAACGUUGGGCACUAGGUGUGGGGUCCAUUCCACGGAUUCCGUGCCGCAGCAAACGCAUUAAGUGCCCCGCCUGGGGAGUACGGCCGCAAGGCUAAAACUUAAAGGAA
rnacentral:rRNA from 1 species